rnacentral:tRNA from 1 species
GGGUGCGUAGCUCAGUGGGAGAGCGCUUCCCUGACGCGGAAGAGGCCACAAGUUCGACCCUUGUCGCACCCACCA